rnacentral:rRNA from 1 species
UACGGAGGGUGCAAGCGUUAAUCGGAAUUACUGGGCGUAAAGCGCACGCAGGUGGCUGAGAAAGUCGAAUUGUGAAAGGCCCUGGGCUUAACCUGGGAAUUGCAGUCGAAACUACUUGGCUAGAGUAUGGGAGAGGGUAGUGGAAUUCCCGGUGAUAGCGGUGAAAUGCGUAGAUAUCGGGAGGAACAUCAGUGGCGAAGGCGGCCACCUGGCCCAAUACUGACAC